UUAAGCGACUAAGCGUACACGGUGGAUGCCCUGGCAGUCAGAGGCGAUGAAGGACGUGCUAAUCUGCGAAAAGCGUCGGUAAGGUGAUAUGAACCGUUAUAACCGGCGAUGUCCGAAUGGGGAAACCCAGUGCAAUUCGUUGCACUAUCGUUAACUGAAUACAUAGGUUAACGAGGCGAACCGGGGGAACUGAAACAUCUAAGUACCCCGAGGAAAAGAAAUCAACCGAGAUUCCCCCAGUAGCGGCGAGCGAACGGGGAGCAGCCCAGAGUCUGAAUCAGCUUGUGUGUUAGUGGAACGGUCUGGAAAGUCCGACGGUACAGGGUGAUAGUCCCGUACACCAAAAUGCACAGGUUGUGAACUCGAAGAGUAGGGCGGGACACGUGGUAUCCUGUCUGAAUAUGGGGGGACCAUCCUCCAAGGCUAAAUACUCCUGACUGACCGAUAGUGAACCAGUACCGUGAGGGAAAGGCGAAAAGAACCCCGGCGAGGGGAGUGAAAAAGAACCUGAAACCGUGUACGUACAAGCAGUGGGAGCACCUUCGGGUGUGACUGCGUACCUUUUGUAUAAUGGGUCAGCGACUUAUAUUCUGUAGCAAGGUUAACCGUAUAGGGGAGCCGCAGGGAAACCGAGUCUUAACUGGGCGUUAAGUUGCAGGGUAUAGACCCGAAACCCGGUGAUCUAGCCAUGGGCAGGUUGAAGGUUGGGUAACACUAACUGGAGGACCGAACCGACUAAUGUUGAAAAAUUAGCGGAUGACUUGUGGCUGGGGGUGAAAGGCCAAUCAAACCGGGAGAUAGCUGGUUCUCCCCGAAAGCUAUUUAGGUAGCGCCUCGUGAAUUCAUCUUCGGGGGUAGAGCACUGUUUCGGCUAGGGGGUCAUCCCGACUUACCAACCCGAUGCAAACUACGAAUACCGAAGAAUGUUAUCACGGGAGACACACGGCGGGUGCUAACGUCCGUCGUGAAGAGGGAAACAACCCAGACCGCCAGCUAAGGUCCCAAAGUCAUGGUUAAGUGGGAAACGAUGUGGGAAGGCACAGACAGCCAGGAUGUUGGCUUAGAAGCAGCCAUCAUUUAAAGAAAGCGUAAUAGCUCACUGGUCGAGUCGGCCUGCGCGGAAGAUGUAACGGGGCUAAACCAUGCACCGAAGCUGCGGCAGCGACACUAUGUGUUGUUGGGUAGGGGAGCGUUCUGUAAGCCUGCGAAGGUGUGCUGUGAGGCAUGCUGGAGGUAUCAGAAGUGCGAAUGCUGACAUAAGUAACGAUAAAGCGGGUGAAAAGCCCGCUCGCCGGAAGACCAAGGGUUCCUGUCCAACGUUAAUCGGGGCAGGGUGAGUCGACCCCUAAGGCGAGGCCGAAAGGCGUAGUCGAUGGGAAACAGGUUAAUAUUCCUGUACUUGGUGUUACUGCGAAGGGGGGACGGAGAAGGCUAUGUUAGCCGGGCGACGGUUGUCCCGGUUUAAGCAUGUAGGCUGAUUGUCCAGGCAAAUCCGGAUAAUCAAGGCUGAGGGGUGAUGACGAGGCACUACGGUGCUGAAGUAACAAAUGCCCUGCUUCCAGGAAAAGCCUCUAAGCAUCAGGUAACAUUAAAUCGUACCCCAAACCGACACAGGUGGUCAGGUAGAGAAUACCAAGGCGCUUGAGAGAACUCGGGUGAAGGAACUAGGCAAAAUGGUGCCGUAACUUCGGGAGAAGGCACGCUGGUGUGUAGGUGAAGUCCCUGCGGAUGGAGCUGAGACCAGUCGAAGAUACCAGCUGGCUGCAACUGUUUAUUAAAAACACAGCACUGUGCAAACACGAAAGUGGACGUAUACGGUGUGACGCCUGCCCGGUGCCGGAAGGUUAAUUGAUGGGGUUAUCCGUAAGGAGAAGCUCUUGAUCGAAGCCCCGGUAAACGGCGGCCGUAACUAUAACGGUCCUAAGGUAGCGAAAUUCCUUGUCGGGUAAGUUCCGACCUGCACGAAUGGCGUAAUGAUGGCCAGGCUGUCUCCACCCGAGACUCAGUGAAAUUGAACUCGCUGUGAAGAUGCAGUGUACCCGCGGCAAGACGGAAAGACCCCGUGAACCUUUACUAUAGCUUGACACUGAACAUUGAGCCUUGAUGUGUAGGAUAGGUGGGAGGCUUUGAAGCGUGGACGCCAGUCUGCGUGGAGCCAACCUUGAAAUACCACCCUUUAAUGUUUGAUGUUCUAACGUUGGCCCCUGACCGGGGUUGCGGACAGUGUCUGGUGGGUAGUUUGACUGGGGCGGUCUCCUCCCAAAGCGUAACGGAGGAGCACGAAGGUUAGCUAAUCCUGGUCGGACAUCAGGAGGUUAGUGCAAUGGCAUAAGCUAGCUUGACUGCGAGCGUGACGGCGCGAGCAGGUGCGAAAGCAGGUCAUAGUGAUCCGGUGGUUCUGAAUGGAAGGGCCAUCGCUCAACGGAUAAAAGGUACUCCGGGGAUAACAGGCUGAUACCGCCCAAGAGUUCAUAUCGACGGCGGUGUUUGGCACCUCGAUGUCGGCUCAUCACAUCCUGGGGCUGAAGUAGGUCCCAAGGGUAUGGCUGUUCGCCAUUUAAAGUGGUACGCGAGCUGGGUUUAGAACGUCGUGAGACAGUUCGGUCCCUAUCUGCCGUGGGCGCUGGAGAAUUGAGGGGGGCUGCUCCUAGUACGAGAGGACCGGAGUGGACGCAUCACUGGUGUUCGGGUUGUCAUGCCAAUGGCACUGCCCGGUAGCUAAAUGCGGAAGAGAUAAGUGCUGAAAGCAUCUAAGCACGAAACUUGCCCCGAGAUGAGUUCUCCCUGAGACUUUAAGUCUCCUGAAGGAACGUUGAAGACGACGACGUUGAUAGGCCGGGUGUGUAAGCGCAGCGAUGCGUUGAGCUAACCGGUACUAAUGAACCGUGAGGCUUAACCUU
rnacentral:rRNA from 1 species